UACGGGGGGAGCAAGCGUUGUUCGGAUUUACUGGGCGUAAAGGGCGCGUAGGCGGCCAGCACAAGUCAGUUGUGAAAUCUCCGAGCUUAACUCGGAAAGGUCAACUGAUACUGUGCGGCUAGAGUGCGGAAGGGGCAACUGGAAUUCUUGGUGUAGCGGUGAAAUGCGUAGAUAUCAAGAGGAACACCAAUUGCGAAGGCAGCUCGCUGGGACGUUACUGACGCUGAGACGCGAAAGCGUGGGGAGCAAACAGG
rnacentral:rRNA from 1 species